GGGCGGAUAGCUCAGUUGGUAGAGCAUCGCCCUUACAAGGCGAGGGUCACAGGUUCAAGUCCUGUUCCGCCUA
rnacentral:tRNA from 2 species